AGAUUGAACUGAAGAGUUUGAUCCUGGCUCAGAUUGAACGCUGGCGGGAUGCUUUACACAUGCAAGUCGGACGGCAGCACGGGCUUCGGCCUGGUGGCGAGUGGCGAACGGGUGAGUAAUGUAUCGGAACGUGCCCAGUAGCGGGGGAUAACUACGCGAAAGCGUGGCUAAUACCGCAUACGCCCUACGGGGGAAAGCGGGGGACCUUCGGGCCUCGCACUAUUGGAGCGGCCGAUAUCGGAUUAGCUAGUUGGUGGGGUAACGGCCUACCAAGGCGACGAUCCGUAGCUGGUUUGAGAGGACGACCAGCCACACUGGGACUGAGACACGGCCCAGACUCCUACGGGAGGCAGCAGUGGGGAAUUUUGGACAAUGGGGGCAACCCUGAUCCAGCCAUCCCGCGUGUGCGAUGAAGGCCUUCGGGUUGUAAAGCACUUUUGGCAGGAAAGAAACGGCACGGGCUAAUAUCCUGUGCAACUGACGGUACCUGCAGAAUAAGCACCGGCUAACUACGUGCCAGCAGCCGCGGUAAUACGUAGGGUGCAAGCGUUAAUCGGAAUUACUGGGCGUAAAGCGUGCGCAGGCGGUUCGGAAAGAAAGAUGUGAAAUCCCAGGGCUUAACCUUGGAACUGCAUUUUUAACUACCGGGCUAGAGUGUGUCAGAGGGAGGUGGAAUUCCGCGUGUAGCAGUGAAAUGCGUAGAUAUGCGGAGGAACACCGAUGGCGAAGGCAGCCUCCUGGAUAACACUGACGCUCAUGCACGAAAGUGUGGGGAGCAAACAGGAUUAGAUACCCUGGUAGUCCACGCCCUAAACGAUGUCAACUAGCUGUUGGGGCCUUCGGGCCUUGGUAGCGCAGCUAACGCGUGAAGUUGACCGCCUGGGGAGUACGGUCGCAAGAUUAAAACUCAAAGGAAUUGACGGGGACCCGCACAAGCGGUGGAUGAUGUGGAUUAAUUCGAUGCAACGCGAAAAACCUUACCUACCCUUGACAUGUCUGGAAUCCCGAAGAGAUUUGGGAGUGCUCGCAAGAGAACCGGAACACAGGUGCUGCAUGGCUGUCGUCAGCUCGUGUCGUGAGAUGUUGGGUUAAGUCCCGCAACGAGCGCAACCCUUGUCAUUAGUUGCUACGAAAGGGCACUCUAAUGAGACUGCCGGUGACAAACCGGAGGAAGGUGGGGAUGACGUCAAGUCCUCAUGGCCCUUAUGGGUAGGGCUUCACACGUCAUACAAUGGUCGGGACAGAGGGUUGCCAACCCGCGAGGGGGAGCCAAUCCCAGAAACCCGGUCGUAGUCCGGAUCGCAGUCUGCAACUCGACUGCGUGAAGUCGGAAUCGCUAGUAAUCGCGGAUCAGCAUGUCGCGGUGAAUACGUUCCCGGGUCUUGUACACACCGCCCGUCACACCAUGGGAGUGGGUUUUACCAGAAGUAGUUAGCCUAACCGCAAGGGGGGCGAUUACCACGGUAGGAUUCAUGACUGGGGUGAAGUCGUAACAAGGUAGCCGUAUCGGAAGGUGCGGCUGGAUCACCUCCUUU
rnacentral:rRNA from 1 species